UGUAAAAAAUUUCAUCUACUUUUACUAUUAAAAACUAGUGUGACUGACAGAAUAACAGACAAUUGCACAUGGCAUGUUAUAUGUACCUAAUAGUGACAUACAAGAAUCAAUUCUUAACAGUACAAAUGGAUAAAAUUUUAACA
rfam:Gossypium hirsutum cultivar TM-1 unplaced genomic scaffold scaffold799.1, whole genome shotgun sequence